UUGAGGAAAAACUUUAAAUAAUAAGUAGUUAAAAUAACUGAUCAAAAUACCAGUUUGGGCCCAAAAAUAGAAGAAAUACUUAAAGUAAUUGAACCAGAGUUCUGAAAUAAACCUAUGAAAAUAUAACUAUUGAAAUAUAAAUGCGGAAGAAAACUGAAUUGUUCCCUAUGGCGAUCUAUGAUCACUUCUUAUCAUUCGCUAUUAUGCCCUUGCGUCUACCCUUACCUGAAAUUAAACAUUUAAAAGAGUGAGUAUAAAUUUAUACUUAGUAAGAGACCCAUAGUGGUCUCACUAUGUGUCUGUUAACCUUUCGUUAGAGUCCUGUAACAUGGUACCGCAUACUAUUGCGCUCCCGAACGCAUACUAUCAAGUGGUUCCGUAGGGACACAUCUAGGCUCUCGGUGAACCCGAAGGAAUCAUCCUAUAGGAGAGUCAGACUGUAAGUGAUCCCGUCGAAUCACAUCUCAAACAAGUCACACAUGCAUACAUAGGUGGUGACCCUGAUGGACCCCCAUACGGUACAACUCUAAUAGGCAAAACUAACAGAACACUAUAGCCUAUACAUGUUUAUCAUAAGAUCAACAUCUUAGCUCAAUUACACAUAACUCAAAAGUAACAUAUUUGAUUAUAGCAUGCCUCAACAAAUAAUACUAUAUCUAAAUCAUAAUAUGGUUUUCAAAGUAACUAUUUAUACGACCAUCUCAAACAACAUAAUUCAACUCAUUCCAGUGCUAACUCAUUUUAGACCCAAAACAAUAAUUAUUUGGGUGUACCAAACCAACGAGAAUUAAGCAAAAACUCACCAAGGGCUUAAAUAUGUUGCAGACGGCUAAAACUGAAGGUGGCUCGACUAACAACGCUUCAGCUCGAGUCUUGAGACUCACGGCUGGCAUACGACUCACACAGGAAUGGCUCGGUUGCGCGUGGCUCGCGUAUGGCUUACACGAAACGGCUCGGAUCCACAGAGAUGACUCACGAGGCUCGGUGAAGGAAUACGACUCGAACUAACACGACUUGGACAUGUGGCUCGCAAAAAGAAAACUUUCACAGCUUGCAUCCUUCACUGUCAAGCACGAUGAUGUCCGGCGGUGCUGUGCGAGUGGAGGCAACGACGGGUGAUGGUUUCGACGGAAGAGAGGGUUCUGACCGAUGAUGUGGAGGAGGAACGCACAGAGGAAGACAGGGGUCGUUCGACGGUUCGAUGCAACACGCGUC
rnacentral:lncRNA from 1 species